UCCUGACUGCUUAAGCUCAGACAUUGGUC
rnacentral:piRNA from 1 species